AAUAAGAUGCCUGAGUUAAAGGACUAUCUUGAUAGGAUAGAUAACGUAUAAUAAAAUACUCUUAUUA
rnacentral:tRNA from 1 species